rnacentral:rRNA from 1 species
CCUACGGGUGGCAGCAGUGAGGGAUAUUGCACAAUGGGGGGAACCCUGAUGCAGCGACGCCGCGUGGGUGAAGGAGUGCUUCGGCAUGUAAAGCCCUAUCGGCAGGGAAGAAGCAAGACGGUACUUGACUAAGAAGCCCCGGCUAACUACGUGCCAGCAGCCGCGGUAAUACGCAGGGGGCGAGCGUUAUCCGGAUUCACUGGGUUUAAAGGGAGCGUAGACGGCCAUGCAAGCCAGGGGUGAAAGCCCGGGGCCCAACCCCGGGACUGCCCUUGGAACUGGGCGGCUAGAGUGCGGGAGGGGCAGGCGGAAUUCCUGGUGUAGCGGUGAAAUGCGUAGAUAUCAGGAGGAACACCGGCGGCGAAGGCGGCCUGCUGGACUGCGACUGACGUUGAGGCUCGAAAGCGUGGGGAGCGAACAGGAUUAGAUACCCUGGUAGUC